rnacentral:rRNA from 1 species
UACGUAGGGGGCUAGCGUUAUCCGGAAUUACUGGGCGUAAAGGGUGCGUAGGUGGUUUCUUAAGUCAGAGGUGAAAGGCUACGGCUCAACCGUAGUAAGCCUUUGAAACUGGGAAACUUGAGUGCAGGAGAGGAGAGUGGAAUUCCUAGUGUAGCGGUGAAAUGCGUAGAUAUUAGGAGGAACACCAGUUGCGAAGGCGGCUCUCUGGACUGUAACUGACACUGAGGCACGAAAGCGUGGGGAGCAAACAGGAUUAGAUACCCGAGUAUGACUGACU